rnacentral:rRNA from 1 species
UACGAAGGGGGCUAGCGUUGCUCGGAUUGACUGGGCGUAAAGGGCGCGUAGGCGGAUAGUACAGUCAGGCGUGAAAUUCCUGGGCUCAACCUGGGGGCUGCGUUUGAUACGUAUUGUCUGGAGUUCGGAAGAGGGUCGUGGAAUUCCCAGUGUAGAGGUGAAAUUCGUAGAUAUUGGGAAGAACACCGGUGGCGAAGGCGGCGACCUGGUCCUUGACUGACGCUGAGGCGCGAAAGCGUGGGGAGCAAACAGG